rnacentral:lncRNA from 1 species
ACGGUUGUUACUCAGGGUGUGGUGCUAAUGAGAGACAGUGUGGUAGACCAUACAGGUUGUUACUCAGGGUGUGGUGCUAAUGAGAGACAGUGUGGUAGACCAUACAGGUUGUUACUCAGGGUGUGUGCUAGAUGAGACAGUGGUAGACCAUACGGUGUUACUCAGUGUGGUCUAAUGAGAGACAGUGUAGUAGACAUACAGGUUGUUACUCAGGUGUGGUGCUAAUGAGAGACAUGUGGAAGACCAUACAGGUUGUUACUCAGGGUGUGGUGCUAAUGAGAGACAGUGGGGAAGACCAUACAGGUUGUUACUCAGGGUGUGGUGCUAAUGAGAGACAGUGUGGUAGACCAUACAGGUUGUUACUCAGGGUGUGGUGCUAAUGAGAGACAGUGUGGUAGACCAUACCGGUUCAGCUAUUAUUAGAGACUCACCAGUGCU